rnacentral:miRNA from 1 species
AUUUUUUCUGUGUUGGUGUAAUGUACUCAGGUGAAUAUGAUGCUUGUGAUGUUCACAAGCAUCAUAUUCACCUGAGUACAUUACACCAACACAGAAAAAAUCAUGAUUAUUA